ensembl:lncRNA
AUGAACAGGGUGUCAGUGAAUCAACGAGGUGGAUAUGGAGGAGGAAGAGGUGGUUACGGUGGAGGCGAUGGAUAUAAUGGCUACGGAGGGAAUGGUGGUUAUGGUGGAGGUGGACCUAAUUAUGGAGGCAACUUCGGAGGAGGCAACUUUGGAGGUGGCGGAGGCUACAACGACUUUGGCAACUACAACAAUCAAUCUCCCUCUAACUACGGCCCAAUGAAGGGAGGAAACUACGGAAGUGGUGGAAGGAGCGGUGGUGGUGGUGGUGGCCCAUAUGGCGGUGGUUAUGGAGGAGGCUCUGGUGGGGGUUAUGGAGGAGGCUCUGGUGGGAGAAGGUUUUAGAUUCAAGG